GCAAACUGAGUUCCCCUUCCGUUCACACGCUUCGCAAUCCACGCGUUUUUAUACAUCUUAUAUCAUUGUCGGCUUUUGUUUUACGGCUGGUUGCUGGUUUAAUUAAUAAUGUAGAGGAUUUGGAUCAGUUGCAGCUCUGGAGCCGCGGAACGUUUGGGAUUCUGCAGAAAUGGAGCAGCCGAUCUUCACCACCAGAGCUCAUGCCUUCCAGAUCUGGA